GUGUCUAUAUAUGAAGGAGACAAAAGAGAUUGUCGCAAAUUCUGCACUACAGGAAUUGACGGAGCAAUGACCAUAUGGGAUUUCAAGACCUUAGAGUCUUCAAUCCAAGGCCUGCGGAUCAUGUAAAACUUACACAAACUAGCAUGACACAGCACAAGCAAUGCAGCUCGAAGACUAACAAGGAGAUUUCCGAUAACACUUCUGAAGGUUUUUAAGUAAAAAAAAAAAAAAAAAGAACUGAGCAGGGGGG